rnacentral:rRNA from 1 species
ACUCCUACGGGAGGCAGCAGUAGGGAAUCUUCCACAAUGGGCACAAGCCUGAUGGAGCAACACCGCGUGAGUGAAGAAGGGUUUCGGCUCGUAAAGCUCUGUUGUUAAAGAAGAACACGUAUGAGAGUAACUGUUCAUACGUUGACGGUAUUUAACCAGAAAGUCACGGCUAACUACGUGCCAGCAGCCGCGGUAAUACGUAGGUGGCAAGCGUUAUCCGGAUUUAUUGGGCGUAAAGAGAGUGCAGGCGGUUUUCUAAGUCUGAUGUGAAAGCCUUCGGCUUAACCGGAGAAGUGCAUCGGAAACUGGAUAACUUGAGUGCAGAAGAGGGUAGUGGAACUCCAUGUGUAGCGGUGGAAUGCGUAGAUAUAUGGAAGAACACCAGUGGCGAAGGCGGCUACCUGGUCUGCAACUGACGCUGAGACUCGAAAGCAUGGGUAGCGAACAGGAUUAGAUACCCUGGUAGGAUAGCG